ACGAACGCUGGCGGCGUGCCUAAUACAUGCAAGUCGAGCGGACUUAAAAAGCUUGCUUUUUAAGUUAGCGGCGGACGGGUGAGUAACACGUGGGCAACCCGCCUGUAAGACUGGGAUAACUUCGGGAAACCGGAGCUAAUACCGGAUAAUCCUUUUCUACUCAUGUAGAAAAGCUGAAAGACGGUUUACGCUGUCACUUACAGAUGGGCCCGCGGCGCAUUAGCUAGUUGGUGAGGUAACGGCUCACCAAGGCGACGAUGCGUAGCCGACCUGAGAGGGUGAUCGGCCACACUGGGACUGAGACACGGCCCAGACUCCUACGGGAGGCAGCAGUAGGGAAUCUUCCGCAAUGGACGAAAGUCUGACGGAGCAACGCCGCGUGAGUGAUGAAGGUUUUCGGAUCGUAAAACUCUGUUGUUAGGGAAGAACAAGUACGAGAGUAACUGCUCGUACCUUGACGGUACCUAACCAGAAAGCCACGGCUAACUACGUG
rnacentral:rRNA from 1 species